rnacentral:lncRNA from 1 species
GAGCAGCCCGAAGCCAUGAGUCGCUGUCACUGCUCUUUCUGUGCCUGGUGCAGCCCCAGCUCAUGGGGUCUGGGCCACCUCUGAUCCCAUGCCCCCCACUUCACACUCGGGGUUCUGGCUUCCCUGCUGUGAGCCUGUCUCUCCUCCGUGGGACAGGCCAGCCUGGGCAGCCAUCCCAGUGCUCACUGCCCAGCAUAUAGUGGGUGCCUCAUAAAUGUGGGCUGAACAGAGCCUGCCCCGGGCCCCCUGACUUCCAGACAUAAAGUAGGUGCUUCAUAAAUGCAGGCCAAACAGAACCUACCCUGGGGGCCUCCACUUCCCUUU